CUUCUUCCCCCCCCCCCCCUGGCGCGAUCACAGCCAUCCACCUGGUAUUUUCUGGAGCCUUCUAGCAAAACGGGACAAUUUUACCAUUUUACCCUUAACCUUUGCUCGUUUAUAUUUCAUUCGUUAUAGCUCCAAAUUGCAAUCCGUUUGCAGUCACGCGUUCGUAUCGACACUUACUAUCCAAAUAUGUAAAGAAAUCAGGAAAAUUAUGAAAGAAUCAAAUAUGUCCGUGAAAAUUUUGUUUAAUUCAAUAGGGGCGAUUUCAUCAUUUUACUUAAAUAAAUGCACCGCAAAUAUAAACACGUCGAAUUAAUAAUACGAAAUACGUAAUUUUAAAUAGUGAAAUCCGUGGAGGGGAUUUCACAAUCAAUGUGCAUUACUGUCACAAAAUUGCUUGAGAAAAGGAAUUUCAUGGCUCUGGUUACAUUUUCUCACCAUCUUCUCUAAUUGACUGGAACAAAACGAUGGAGAGAUAUCGUUCACCAAAGCUUGGAAAGACCCCCUGGAAGCAGUCAAAUUCUGAACUACUUUAAUACACAAAGAAUCGAAAGCAAUAUAGUUUUACGUGCACGCAGAUAAGACAAACAAACAGACAAAAAAAGUAGUGAAGUGUGACCAACCAGGAUUACCAGUCCAUCUUUAUAUCAUGCCUCUCUAUACCAAAACACAAUUCCAUAAGUAAAUCACAGUCAUGAUUUUACCUUGACUACAUAGUGUUAGGACUUGGCUCAUCAAAUUUAGUGUCCUAUUUUAUUUAGGAUUGUAUUAGGGAAAGUAUAGGUGCACCGAUUCUUUUCCUAAAACAACUAGGAAAGAAUCAAAAGUAGUUUCAACUCCUUUGAUGGCUCACAAAAGAGAAACAAUUGAUAAAGAAGGUGCUCUAUGCUAAUGUCUUGGGCUGCUGUAUGCAAUAGCAUGCGCACGACCCAACCUAGUUCAAGCACUCAACAUCAUUUCCAAGUACAUGGCAAAUAUAGGAAAGCAACAUUGGGAUGCAGUCAAGUGGAUUUUGCAUUACUUGAAAGGUUCUUGGUGAUAAGGGAUCAUGUUUGAAAAGCAAAAAAAAAAAAAAAAAAAAAAAAAAAGCAAGAUGUUGGGAAAUGUGGAUGUCGAUUAUGCAGGGGACUUGGACAAAAGAAGGUCAACUUUUGGUUAUGCCUUUACAUGUGCAAAAGGACUAAUUAGUUGGAGGGCACUACCACAACCAAUUACAGCUCUGUCCACCACAAAGGCAGAGUACAUUGCUUUGGUCGAAGCUAGAAAUAAAGUAAUUGUUGGUGUAAAAGGCUGGCUCGAUACAAUCCAAUAUGUGUGUGGAGAGAGUCCAACAUUAGAGAAGUACAACAAUAAUCUAAGAUUUAAAUAUACGUGUCAACUUCUAAUUGCACCAAGGUCUUUCAACAUAAAAUCUCACACCUUAGGUCCAUUGGGCUAGAUACCACCCUGGGGAUUGAGCCUAGGUGUUUAAGUAGGGACAAUAUUGGUGCAUGGCAGUUGUAGUAGUUGACACUUAUGGAGCUCGUGACACAACAUUUAGUAUCAAGUCCUUGGUUUAAAGUGUUCUACGAUGUCAAAAGGAAAGGCGACCGUGGACCUAAGGCUUGCGCUAAAACCUUUUGAUGGCAAUGAUAACUUCAUUGAUUGGCAAACAAUGAUGAAUAAUAUACUGAUAAACUAAGAUUUGGAUGAUGCACUCAUUGGUGAGAAGCCUACGACCAUGACAUCAGAGGCAUGCACCAAGGUUCUCAAGAAGGCCAGGAACACCAUCAAAACCCAUCUCACAAGAUCAGUCAGGUCCCAUAUCAUAGAAAAGACAAUCGUUAAGGAAACAUGGGACAAGUUGAAGCAUGUUUAUAGGGGCAAAAUUGUGUCCAACAAACUUUUUCUCAAAGAUGAAUUAUUCAGGCUUCAACUAAAAGAAGAAGGUAUACUGAAGAUCACAUAUGUAGGUUCUAGAAUUGCAUAGCCAAUCAUUAGAAGGUCGAAGAAACUUACAAAGACGAUGAUAUGGCUACCAUCUUGUUGAGGUCUCUACCUUCAACUUUCAAGCUCUUUCGAACAACUCUAAUGUUUGGAAAGGAGUCCUUGAAGCUCAAAGACAUAAGUCAAGCCCUUCAGUCAUAUGCUAAACUGGAUGAUAUAACUGAGAGCUCUCAAAGCCUUUAUGCCAAAGAUAAGGAUAAUGAACAGGAAAAGACAAAGGAAGAUAAGAGCAGCAACAUGGGUAGGUCGGAAUCCAAUAAGUAAAAGGAAGGGAAAAUAGGUCCCAUUUUUGGUGACUUUUGACUUUUGAAAUAGGUCUGAUUUUUAGUUACUUUGGAUACAUAUCAAAAGACCCCAAGAAGGAAACGAAGGAAGGUUGCUUCGGUGUGGUUAUGCCAACUCAAAUUUUAAAGAAAGGAAUUGAUAUUUCUUAUACCUUUGUUGAAUCAUCUUUGCAUAAGCAAAGACUAAUCACCCUUGAGAGAGGGCCUUCAUUCCUAGCUUCUUUGCUCCAUGAAUUUCUUGGAAGAGGAUUGAAGAAUGGAUUCUCCAAGUUCCCAAGAGAGGGAACCUCUAAGUGUCGACACCAAGGAUGAUGAAGAAAGAAGAUGAGUGCCAUUGGAAGAGUUUGAAGCUAUUGAAACUCCCUCAAUGUGGGAGGCCUCUCCUAAAAAGCAUAAAAAAUCAUAAAAAAUUCAUGAAAUAAUCCAUACAAAUCUAUAAUACAAAUCCAUAUAAAUAUGCAAAAGUCCUUUGAGAAUUUGUAGAGUCUAUUAAAAUCCUUUGAAAUCUUUCACUUUAAAAAAAAAUCUAUUAAAACUCUCUUAAAUCCAAAUUGACAACACCUGUAAAUUUGUAGUGACUGAAGGUCAGAUUAGAGCAUCUCCAAAAUAAAUGUCAAAAUCUUCAAAUCAACAUUAACAGUCAUAAAAAAAAGCAACAAAAUUUUCCAACCGAAAGGCCAAAUCUGAAUAUGGUAUGACGUGGAAUAGAAGUCCACACCCUUGCUGUCAAAUUUGACAGCAUCGUUAAAUAUUUUUAAUUCAUUAUUAAAUACUUUUUCCAGGUCAUGGAUCCACCUUCCUUCAAAGAACUAAAAAAGACAAAAAUAUCAUAUUCUUCAUCAUUUUUAAUUCCUUCCACCUGCAAUUCCAAAAGCUUCAAACUUCUUCAUUCCCGAUCUGCAAUUCCAACCGCAUCUCUGUCUCUAAUCAUUUGCAUAGUCCCCCCAAAACUUUUCUCAUUACCCUUGCUUUCUCCUUUUUCGUUGUCGUCGUCUUCUCUCUUUGCACCUUGGGUUGAUCACUUAGAGUAGCUCCAGCGUGUGCUGGAGCCCGAGGGACAGGCGAGGGAACAGGGCCAGAAAGCCCGAGCAUGCCCAAAGGAAAGGCUCGGCACGAGUUGCCAGCCCGAGAGCCCGAAGGCAACGUGACGUGGGCUGACAUCACGGCGACGUCAGCCACAAUAUAAAAUAUUAAUAAAAAAAGUAAAAUUUAAAAAAAAAAUUAAAAAACCCAAUAAGCUUCAAACUCAACGGCACUCGCUGGAGUUCGUCGCCGAGGCUGAUGAACAUCCACAGACAAAUGGCAGAGAUCCAGUCCCUCCUCCGUCGCAGCUACCACCGCACCCCACACUGCCUUCGCCUCCACGCACUUGUGAUCCCCUUCCUUCCACUUGCGCGCCCAGAUCGCACGAUUUGGGAUUUUUUUUUGGGGGGGAGAGAGAGAGAGGGAGAGAGAGGGAGAGAGAGAUUUUAACUAAGGAGUUGGUGAUCCUUUACCUACUUAACUAAGGAAAAACUGAAGUUUUGCAUGGAUCGGCUAUUGAUGUUGUUAGAGUCUGAGGCCCUGCCUCUGGAGCUAAAGUGAGAGAGAGCUGCUGAGCUUGAAAAAGAAAGAAAAAAAAAACACACAGCUUUUGGAAUGGUGCAUUGGUACCAUGUGAAAAGAAGAAGAAAAAAAAUAAUAAAAAAAAGGUUUUGGAAUGGUGCAUCGGCACCAUGUGAAAAAAAAACAAAGGUUUUGGAAUGGUGUGCUGCACCAUGUGAAUUGAAAAAAUUAAAAAAUAAAAAUAAAUGUUUUAAUAGAAAGUGGUACAACGAGACCGAUUUAAAAUUGUCAUAGCCCGUCCCGAAAUGUUUAGUUUCGACGGUGUGAAAUGACGGUUUUACCCUUGAACGUAUGUGGGAUGGUGUGGUUUAAGCUUUGGUUGUGGACAAAUUAUGUAUUUUCUUAAGUUUUGGGACCCAAUUGGAACUUAGAUUUUUUUUGGUUUUGAUUGGGACCAAAUCUAGACCACAAACACACACUCUCUCUCUAUCUCUCCCGUGUACACUCUCUCUCUUCCCUCGGUUUUUCUUCCUUCGUUCGUACAAUUUGUAUGGUCACUCUCUCUAAACUCCAACUAGGCACAGAUCGAGUUUGUAGACACCGUCAUCAUCUUCAUCUCAUCGUCAUGAACCCAUCUAUACCAAUUUUGGGCGUGAAAGCUUCGAAAAGCCCAAGAAACCUUAACCUCUGAUUUGAAUAUUGUUCAUGCAGCCGUAAAUGCAUGAUUUUCAGAGGAUUUCAAGCUUAUAGGAAGCUUAAGGACCUCUCCACGAAGCUCGGAGAAGAAAAAUGACAUGAUUUGGACGUCGGGAAGUCGAGAUCGAUGCAUUUGAAGUUUGGCUGGAUUAUCGAAGGUUCUCUGGCAAAUUUCCUUGGAUUUUAGGUCCCAAAACAGUUUUCCGGCGACGACGGCAACUGGCGAGGUUCAUCGGAGAAGAAAGAAGAAUAUUCCAUCAAAGUUGACGAAAUAUUCCUAACGGAGGGUAACGACGUCAAUUGUUUCGCAUAUAAGGGAGACUUAUCCCGAGGACGAGCGUAGUCAAGGGUGACUCGGGGGCUACGACCCUUCGACAUACCAGUUUUAGGUAGACUUGUUGUUGGUGGCAUUUGUGGAUCUUGGCGGUUCUGACAAAGUAUAAUAUUCGUAGGACUUCUUCUGGUACUGUAUAACUAGUACUUGUCUUACUAGACUGCACUUAGACUUCUAUACUCUGAUUAUGUGUAUUUACACUUGUAUCUCAUUCCUAGCACUUUCUGCUUAUUAGUGCACAUUAAUUAGCUUUCGGUUUUUUAUU